GGAUGCUGGAGCAAUCUGACAGUGACAUCUGGCACUCCACUUAUGCCAGGUUUGAUUCAAGGGAUUUGGCUGGCUGAGAGUGUCCAGUGAUUCCCUCACUGUUCUCUGUAUUUGUCAUCCUGCCAUUAGCAUUGGCUGUAUCUUCUGGAUGCUAGUCAAGUCCAAGAGGGUAGUACUCUCAGAGAGAAGAGGACCACCUUGUCAUCCAAGAGAUACAAUUAGUUGAACACUCCUGUGAGGACCUCAAAACAGAUGUCUUAGUUUCAUAUACAAAUGCCAAUUUUGUUUACACUUCUUGUUUGUAAAACAUGGACUGAGUUUAAAUAUAAUAAAGUUGUUCAGUU
rnacentral:sRNA from 1 species